UACGUAGGGGGCAAGCGUUGUCCGGAAUCAUUGGGCGUAAAGCGCGUGUAGGCGGCUUGAUAAGUCUGCUCUGAAAGCCCGGGGCUCAACCCUGGGAGGCGGGUGGAUACUGUCGAGCUCGAGUCCGGAAGAGGCGAGUGGAAUUCCUGGUGUAGCGGUGAAAUGCGCAGAUAUCAGGAGGAACACCAAUGGCGAAGGCAGCUCGCUGGGACGGUACUGACGCUGAGACGCGAAAGCGUGGGGAGCAAACGGG
rnacentral:rRNA from 1 species